rnacentral:rRNA from 1 species
AUUGAACGCUGGCGGCAGGCCUAACACAUGCAAGUCGAGCGGAUGAAGGGAGCUUGCUCCUGGAUUCAGCGGCGGACGGGUGAGUAAUGCCUAGGAAUCUGCCUGGUAGCGGGGGAUAACGUCCGGAAACGGGCGCUAAUACUGCAUACGUCCUGAGGGAGAAAGUGGGGGAUCUUCGGACCUCACGCUAUCAGAUGAGCCUAGGUCGGAUUAGCUAGUUGGUGGGGUAAAGGCCUACCAAGGCGACGAUCCGUAACUGGUCUGAGAGGAUGAUCAGUCACACUGGAACUGAGACACGGUCCAGACUCCUACGGGAGGCAGCAGUGGGGAAUAUUGGACAAUGGGCGAAAGCCUGAUCCAGCCAUGCCGCGUGUGUGAAGAAGGUCUUCGGAUUGUAAAGCACUUUAAGUUGGGAGGAAGGGCAGUAAGUUAAUACCUUGCUGUUUUGACGUUACCAACAGAAUAAGCACCGGCUAACUUCGUG